GAGCUAACAGAGGAAUUAGGGGAGCUGGAGGCCAGCUCCGAUGAGGAGGCGAUGGUAACUACCAGGGUUGUCCGCCGACGAGUGAUCAUCCAGGGAGAGGACAUGCCUGAGAUACCGCCAGAAAGUGUCACCGAAGAAGAAUACAUUGAUGAGCAUGGGCACACCGUGGUGAAGAAGGUUACCAGAAAAAUCAUCAGGCGGUACGUGUCCUCUGAUGGCACAGAGAAAGAAGAGAUCACGAUGCAAGGGACACCACAGCAGCCUGUGAACAUCGAAGGUGGAGACGGUUAUUCCAAAGUGAUAAAGCGUGUUGUACUGAAGAGUGACGCCGAGCAGUCAGAGGUGACUUUGUCUGAACCCAGCAUUCUGUCCAGUACCUCACAAUUUCAGGCUGAACCAGUAGAAGGCCGUAGAGUCAGCAAAGUUGUUAAAACCACUGUGGUCUGUGGAGAGAGGAUGGAGAAACAUCUGGGGGAUUCUAGUUUAGCCACUGACCUUCCUUCAGCCAAAGAUGACUUUGACGAGGCUUUGAGUUACACAGGUAGCCACAUGAAAGUCCACCUCCCCAGUUUAGUAGAGAAGGAAAUCCUGAAAGAGGAUGGAUCAAUAAUUAAAAGGACAACAAUCAGUAAAGCCAAGACACAGAAGAGGGCUGUGGUGAAGGACUGGCAUGGGAAACGUGUUGAUCUGGAGCACCUGGAAGAUGUACCAGAAGCAUUAGGCCAGGACGACCUCCAGCAUGACCUCGAGCAACUCCUUCGGCAUUUCCACCAGGAGGACUUGAAGCAAAAGGCUACAUGAGGGGCUUCCCAAUUCUCACACCAGAAACCAUGCAUUCACACAAUAUGCAACUUCCCAGUUCCUUAGAGGAGUGAUUUCACUGGCCCACUUAAUGGGAUCCCCUGACAUUUCCACUGUUAGCAAAUAUACAUCAUUCUGUUUUAGUUUUUCCGCAUUCUCUCUAAUGAUAAACUAAUCUGUGACCAAAGAUAGCAUCCUUCCUUGUGGAUGCUGCACCCACUCCUUGGUGUGUCUGUGUGAGCCUGGGACCUGGCCACCCUCACUGUUCUGUGUUCCUGCUCAUGCUCACGGAAAUCCAUCGAUUAGAAGAACUUCACCUGCAGACCUCUUUCAGUGACGACCCAGAGGACUCCUUCCUCAGGAUACCCAUGUACAAUGUAUAUAGCUGAAAUGCUCAGAUGAACAAUAUGUUAAAAUCAAACCACUGCCUACCAUAACUACACUGGGAAUCAUGGAAUAAAAGGUCUCUAGAAAUUGCUGAACAAUGGUUAAUAAAGAUAUUGCUAACACAAUCAAAUGAUUAAACAACACAGUUUGACGGUGAAAGAAGCACUGCAGAACUACCAUGUCCUUAGGACUUCCAGAGUAGCCAUUGCUCCUAAAGAAGAGUCAAUAAUCCUGAAGAACUGUCCUCACUACAAAGCUACUGCUGGUGCUGGCCAGCCAUCAUCUAUGACUCUGGGGAAGGAGAAAAGGGAGCAGAAAGCAAAGAGAUGGAGACAGUGAGAUAUUUGGUUGCAAGAAGCUACUUCCUGUGGCAUUCUAGCAUCUUCAGGUCUUUUUGAUUUUGGACAUGUUGGCAGGGUAUUUUAAAAGUUAUAACUACUGUAGUUUUCCAGUUUCCCUUGCUGCUUUAGCAAACCAUGCUGUCUUACUGGUGGUACUUUCUUCCGGCCACUGCACUGUACAUAAAUUCAUUGGAAACAAGAUUUACUUACUACAAAAAAAAAGUUAAAUCCCGUCGCCCUGUCGGAGUGGUUUCUUUUUAUCCCCGCCCCCCAGCUUUAUAUCUUCUCGAAUACCUGCACGUGGCAUUUAAGAAUCAAACCCACAGCCCAAACUCCUCUUCUCAUCACAGCAAUGGUUUUCAUUCUUUUUGCCCUGAGUGAAAACUUCACUUUCCAGCUAGAUCUGUUUUUCAGCUUGCAGACAAGGUUGAGAAAUCCUUUGAAAGUUUGGUUUUUGGUUAAAAUUUUUGGUUUAUUUAUUUGAAAUCCAACUCCCUUGGAAACUCUUAAGUGCAUUUGUCCACUUCUCUGUUUGUUUCAAAGAAGGGACUGGAACAAUCUGAAGUGAUUUCCAUGUCCUAUUUCUUAUUCCUCUAGUGGUUGAAGCUGUGUAGCAUUUUAACAUAUAUUAUAUAUAUUCAUAAAUAUAUUCAUGUAAACAGUAUACAUUUUGAACCAGUUAUUUGUUAAAAGUAUAUUCAAUGAAGAUGAAAUUUUUUUAAAAGUCUAUCCUCCAGGGAUUGAACUUUUUCCAAUUCUAUCUGGUCUUUUCUUGUGCAAAAAUGACUCAUUGCUCCGAAUGUCAACAGCCAAUGUGACAAACCAUGGCACUUCAUUAUUUAAAGUAACUUUGCCAAGAGAAAAAAAUGUUCUGGUGGGGGGGGCCGGUUUCCCCUAAGCCAAAUCUCCUAACCCUCCAACGCUAGCACUUCUGGCAGCUGGAUGGGAAUAGAGCGUUCUUUGGCACUGAAAAGAGAGAGGCCCCCGUGGACCUUUGUGGCACUCACCAAGGCCCUCUGUCUCAGCCUCCACCUGGAACCCGACAAGCAUUUCCGUGUGUAAUUUGCAGUGCAGAUGAUGUCUGUGUAACAACAUAAUUGUUAUUCACCUUCCUUUGAUUUUUGAUUUUUGCUGUGUUAUCAGAAAAACUUGAAUAUGUGAGAAGAAGUGAAUUUUCAGUUGAUGAAUCAGCAUUUUGUUCCCAUGGUGAUAACGCUAAUUGAAUAUAUCUAUGAGGGCAUGUAUUAGUUAACGGAAAAAAAUACAACACUAACAAUACAUAGCUGCAAUGUUGUACAAUGGCUGAUUUAAUUCAAUAAAAUGUACAAGUGUUAAAUGUGGCAACAGUGAUUUGUUCUUUAUCACAAAUCUGUGCUCUUGGGAGAAUGAGGGAUAAUUAAGGGAAUGAGAUAGACUUGGAGCCAGCAGAAGGACGCCAGUUCCCGUUUCUUUUGGUUUUCCUUGGUAACUGAAUGUGUUAUUCUCCCAGCACUGUACUAAGCAAUCUGCCCCUGCCCUCUUAUUGUUAGGGUUAUGCAGUGGGGGAAAUCAGGGGUCACUAAUAAAUGAAAAACAGGAAUUUAGGGACUUGGGGUAGAUGCUAACAUGGAAACCGGGCAUUGGCAGCUCAGCAAGACCACAGGACUUGACUAUUUUGGUUCUUUCCCCUAACGCCAUCAGUGUCACAAAAUACCCGUCUGUGGGAACAGCAUUUAGCCCUGGGUUGUUUUGUUUUCUUCUCUUUUAUAAUUAGAUAAUUGGAAAAUGAAUAAAUAUAUUAGGUACAUAAAGAUAAGGUAGGAAUAUGCAAAAUUGAAAUCAGUAGUUUUGGAGUGUUUGACUAGCAUUGUUUUUUUAAAAAAAAUCCCUUUAAUGCCACUAUAAUUUUUUUUGCAGUAAAAACUAUAGAAAGAGUUUAGAAAUUGAAGUUUUAUUUAAAUAUUAUCUAGCAUGGAAUAGGAAGCUAGCUGGACCUGUUUUAUCUGCCUGAUUGCUUAACAAGAUCUUCUAAAAUUAAAAUACCAAUUAUACUUGAUAUUUUUCAAAGAAAACAGAGUCAAAAUUAUUUUUCCAAAGUGGGAGUGUGUAUGUGACCAUUGCCCUACUUGUUUGUUUAAUGGAUUGUGCUUUCUACUAAGGGGAUCUCUAGGCUUGCAUUGCCUGGGCUUUGAGGAAACAGAUCAAAGAAACAGAAUAUACACUGUCUU
rnacentral:lncRNA from 1 species